rnacentral:rRNA from 1 species
AACGAACGUUAGCGGCGCGCCUAACACAUGCAAGUCGCACGAGAAAGGGCUUCGGCCCCGGUACAGUGGCGCACGGGUGAGUAACACGUAGGUAAUCUGCCCUUGGGUGGUGGAUAACCCUCCGAAAGGAGGGCUAAUACAGCAUGAGACCACGGCAUCUCCGGCUGCAGCGGUCAAAGCAGGCCUCUCAACCGAAGCUUGCGCCUGAGGAGGAACCUGCGGCCCAUCAGCUAGUUGGUAAGGUAACGGCUUACCAAGGCAAAGACGGGUAGCUGGUCUGAGAGGAUGAACAGCCACACUGGAACUGAGACACGGUCCAGACUCCUACGGGAGGCAGCAGUGGGGAAUCUUGCACAAUGGGCGAAAGCCUGAUGCAGCGACGCCGCGUGAGCGAUGAAGGCCUUCGGGUUGUAAAGCUCUGUGGGGAGGGACGAAUACGCGUUGGCUAAUAUCCAACGUGAUGACGGUACCUCCUUAGCAAGCACCGGCUAACUCUGUGCCAGCCGCCGCCGUAACAC